UAGGGAAUAUUGGACAAUGGGCGAAAGCCUGAUCCAGCAACGCCGCGUGCACGAUGAAGGCCUUCGGGUUGUAAAGUGCUUUUAAGGGAGAUGAGAAAGGACAGUAUCCCUUGAAUAAGCCUCGGCGAACUACGUGCCAGCAGCCGCGGUAAAACGUAGGAGGCAAGCGUUAUCCGGAUUUCCUGGGCGUAACGCGCGUGCAGGCUGUUUGGAAAGUUGGAUGUGAAAGCUCCUGGCUUAACUGGGGGAGGUCGUUCAAAACUACCAAGCUAGAGAAUGGGAGAGGG
rnacentral:rRNA from 1 species